AGAAUCAACGCUGGCGGCGUGCCUAACACAUGCAAGUCGAACGAGAAAGUGGAGCAAUCCAUGAGUAAAGUGGCGCACGGGUGAGUAACACGUGACUACCUACCCUUGAGUGGGGGAUAACCUAGGGAAACCUGGGCUAAUACCGCAUAAUACCUACGGGUCAAAGAAGCAAUUCGCUUAAGGAGGGGGUCGCGGCCGAUUAGUUAGUUGGCGGGGUAAUGGCCCACCAAGACGAUGAUCGGUAUCCGGCCUGAGAGGGCGCACGGACACACUGGAACUGAAACACGGUCCAGACUCCUACGGGAGGCAGCAGUGGGGAAUUUUGCGCAAUGGGGGAAACCCUGACGCAGCAACGCCGCGUGGAGGAUGAAGCCCCUUGGGGUGUAAACUCCUUUCGAUCGGGAAGAUAAUGACGGUACCGAUAUAAGAAGCCCGGCUAACUUCGCGCCAGCAGCCGC
rnacentral:rRNA from 1 species